rnacentral:misc_RNA from 1 species
AACUUCCUCAAACCACGUUCCAUGUGAACUGUGGGCUUGGAUGGUGGGGGUUCAUUUGCAGGCCUCUUUUCUUCUGAGGUCGGCUCCCCUGAAAUGCAUCAGUGGUGAUCUGUGGCUAUUGCUAUUAGGUGUGAUAAUUAUCUUAUGCCCUUGGUAUGCUGCAGAAACUGCUUCUAAAAAACGAUCUUGAUGA